UACGUAGGGGGCAAGCGUUGUCCGGAUUUACUGGGUGUAAAGGGAGCGUAGGUGGCAUGGUAAGCCAGAAGUGAAAACCCGGGGCUCAACCCCGCGGAUUGCUUUUGGAACUAUCAGGCUGGAGUGCUGGAGGGGUAAGCGGAAUUCCUAGUGUAGCGGUGAAAUGCGUAGAUAUUAGGAGGAACACCGGUGGCGAAGGCGGCUUACUGGACAGAAACUGACACUGAGGCUCGAAAGCGUGGGGAGCAAACAGG
rnacentral:rRNA from 1 species